rnacentral:lncRNA from 1 species
UGUAAGCGUAGGUGCGUGAGAGAACCUGCUUGAAGGAACCUGCUUGAGGGAACCUGCUUGAGGGAACGUGUGUGAGCCUACCUGCGUAUUGAUUAAUUGUUAUGUCCUUCAAGCAUGAAUUAACACCGUAUGAUUGUUAUGUGGGUUUGGAAUAUUCAAUAUAAGCUCAGCUUCUACAAUUGAUUUAGUAGGAAUCAAAUCGGAGUACGUCUACAGAGGAUUCAGAGGGGACCAGGCCUUCCGCGAUGAAUUUUUCUUACAAGAAACCCUUGGAGGAAAAGUACCCUGCAAAAUAUCAAGAAGUACAAACAACACUGUGAAGAAGAUCUUCUGUGAAGAAGAACUGAACAGACCAUCUAGGAAAGCAGAUUAAACUCAAGAAGAAUUGUUUUGAAUAAGUUUAACAUUGACCAGUUCAAAGAUGAUGGACAUUUCCCACUCAAAACAAGUCAACAUAUAGG